ACGAACGCUGGCGGCUGCUUAACACAUGCAAGUCGAACGGAGUGGCGAACGGGUGAGUAACGCGUGAGCAACCUGCCUAUGACAGUGGGAUAACCUCGGGAAACCGGGAUUAAUACCGCAUAGUCAUAGAUGGGCUCGCUUCUGAUUCUCUAGUUGGUGUGAUAACAGCCCACCAAGGCGACGAUCCGUAGCCUGUCUCAGAGGAUGAACGGCCACAUUGGAACUGAGACACGGUCCGAACUCCUACGGGAUGCAGCAGUGGGGAAUAUUGCACAAUGGGGGAAACCCUGAUGCAGCGACGCCGCGUGAACGAAGAAGGUAUUCGUAUCGUAAAGUUCUGUCCUAUGGGAAGCAGUACCAUAGAAGAAAGCUCCGGCUAAAUACGUGCCAGCAGCCGCGGUAAUUC
rnacentral:rRNA from 1 species